rnacentral:rRNA from 1 species
GGGCUUGUCAGCAAAGGUGAGAUUCCACCGGAGGAGCGGCUGAGACGCUAUUAGCUUGUUGGUGAGGUAAUGGCUUACCAAGGCGACGAUGGGCUAGGGGGUGUGAGAGCAUGGCCCCCACCACUGGCACUGAGACACUGGCCAGACACCUACGGGUGGCUGCAGUCGAGAAUCUUCGGCAAUGGGCGCAAGCCUGACCGAGCGACGCCGCGUGCGGGAUGAAGGUCUUCGGAUUGUAAACCGCUGUCGGAGGGGAUGAAGUGUAUGGGAGCAAUCUCCUGUAUUUGACAGAGCCUCGGAGGAAGCACGGGCUAAGUUCGUGCCAGCAGCCGCGGUAAUACGAACUGUGCAAACGUUAUUCGGAAUCACUGGGCUUAAAGGGUGCGUAGGCGGUCGCACAAGUCAGGUGUGAAAUCCCCCGGCUCAACCGGGGAAUAGCGCUUGAAACUAGGUGACUUGAGUGAGGUAAGGGUACGCGGAACUUCUGGUGGAGCGGUGAAAUGUGUAGAUAU